CAGAGCAGUGGUGGGUGUCAGGGGAGGAUGUAUUUGGGUGCUGGGAGCAGGGAAGGGUGCUAAGGGCUGUGGUAGGGGAAUGGUGCAUGACUAUAGGGGAUUAAGGCCCCAGCCCCUUUUUGCCUCUUGCCUACUCCCCCUUUGUCUCACCUGUGUCUCCCUUCUCUCCCCCUUGCUCCCUUCUCCCCUGCCCUCCAGCAGUAACUGAUAUAAGACAAGGGCCAAGUAGUCCACAGGCUACUGCCUCCUCUCCCACGACAGACAGGAGCAGAUAGGAGGAUGGCCAGGCGCCUGGAUGUGCUAAUCCACAUAGAGCCUUUGCCUCAGCUCCUAUACAGCAUAGUACAUUGCCCCCAACACGCAUUUUUCAUGUAUCCGACAAAUUAACUCCUGCUCCAGCAUCUCCCUUUUUUAACUAAAAUGCACAAGCAGGAAAUAGCUGUUGCAGGACAUAUUCACACCAUCUCUAGGUUACAUUUCUCAUCCCCCCCCUUAUUUUCUCCCUGCUUCGUGCCUGCUCUGUCCAGCUUUUUUGCCUCUUUGCCGGAAGCACCAGCAGAGAUGGCAAUGUGCUUCCUGCCGGAAUGAGAGGAAAACCAGAAGCUAGGGAGCAUGUGGCUGAGAGAAGAGGGACUAAGAACAUUGGGAGGAAAGCACAUGACCAGAAUUCCAUUUAAAUUAAUGGAUGAUGCAGAGACCCAGUCCUUUUUUGACUCCUGCACAUGAAUUUAAAUACCAAGCAGCAGACUGAGAGCCAGAAGCUGCAGAGCUCUUAUUUGGACUGUGACAGCAAUCUCCUCCUUGGACCUGGGAGGAGAGAGGAAAAGAGCUGAGCUCAGAUUGCACUUCCAAGGCAGAUCUGUGAAGAAAGAAUGAGAGAAAUUAGAAAUGGGACAGACCCGCUGAUGUCAUCCAGUCUGUCUCCUCUGGGGGCCAGUUCAGAUUGCCCCUUCAGUACGCUUGUGAGUGCCACAUUCAAGACCUUCAUGACCUAUCCCCACCCUACCUAUCAUCUGUAUUCAUUACUGAAAGGUCAACUCCUGCCGCCAAUCAGCCCAUGAUGCCAGCCUCUAUUGUCUACUUGUUACAUUUUCAAACAAGCACCUUUGUUUUCUGCCCUGUUGCCCCUCACAUCUGGGAAAAACUCCCUCUAAACAUCGCAAAACUAACUCUAAACCCUCUUUAAAACUUCACUCUGGCGUGAAGUCUAUAAAAACAUGAAAAUGGUUAGGCUGCUGGUGUGCUGAGCCACUGCCUAUUAUGCUGACCAACAUUGACUCAUUGUUUUCCAGUACUCCCCUGUUGACCUGUCUGUUUCCAUCUGUUUUGUGACUCUGUAACAGGGCCAGCUGCCUCCUGAGCACCCCCUCAUAGCCAGAGGUCAUUCUGAAGUGCCCUGCUACCAAUUUCUCCCCUUCUCAGGGCCCCACUUAUUGACUCCUUCUGUACUGGCCCCCCAGGCCCCAAUCCCCCUUCAAUCACUCUGCCCCUUUAGGCAGAGUCUCCCCAGGACUAGAUCCCAAUACAAAGUCUCUCAGGCUUUACCUAGCUGGAGUUCAGCCGUCUGGCUUCCAGGCCCACAAGCCCUUCUCUCAGUCAGGGUCUGUAGUGGGAGCUGGAUCCAGUAUUUCCAGGUUUUACCUGGCUGGAGCGCAGCCUCCCUCAGCUCUCUGGUUCUGGCUUCCAGUCCAAAACCCUUCUCUAAGUCAGGGUCCCUAGCAGGAACCUCCUACUCACUCCUGUCACAGCUCUCUUAGUCAGAAUCUGGCUACCAUUCCCUGAGCUCCCCCUUUCCCCUUCAUUGCAGCCUCCUGCUGUUCUUUGCAGGACAGCCACCCUGAUCUUUUCCAGCUGUGACUCAUUCUGUCAGUAGGGUUGGCUAGCCACAGCCCUUUGGUGGGUGAACCAUGCUGUUACAGUCUCUGUAAGCUCUUUGGGGGCAGACAGAGUCCUUUUGCUGUGUCUGCAUAGUGCCUAGCACAAUGGGGUCCUGGCCCACGACUAGGGCUCCUAGGCACUAUGAUAAAUAUGAUUCAAAUAAGAAAUAAUCAUUUGUCCCAUUCCAGGGUUGAGUAUUCCAAGUCUUCUCAGGACUAGGUGUACUAGAGUUCUCAACUUACCAAUUCCAGUGCCCUCCUCCUUGUUCUCUGACAUUAUCCAAAGAAAAAGUUGGCAGAUGAACAUACUCAAUCCAGCCAGGGUCCUUGCUCACAAAGAACUGCAUGCAGUAGCGAGUUCCUUGUGCACUUCCAAAUAAGCUACAUGGACCAGCUAGGGGAAGGGGAGAAAUCUCACCUUACGGGUGACUUGGCUGGUUUGAAGAAAUAACAGUAAAAUCCUCCACAUUCAUCAGGCCCAAGAGUUUAAUUUUAAAAGUACCAAAGUGCCCACUGGGAAACGGCCCAGGCAUCUAGCGAAAGCACAGUCUGUGCCAUGCAGAGAGCAGGCUUCAGAUCUGUCUUUAACCCAGUUGGCAAAGAAGGGGAGUGAUGCAGGAAUGGCGGGGGGCCCUCCUGCUGGCCCAGCAGUGCUGUGAUGAGAGCUGCACUCAUCCCUUUUCAGCCAGCAGAACGGGGAAACGGGGAAUAUCUUGCAAGACAACUCCCACCUGAACAAUUCUAUAAGCUUCAGCAUUACACCACUGUUUGUGAAGCCACAGGCUCUCUAUAAUAAUUCUUUGUGUAUGUUCAAAGCCCUUUACCAACAUUAACCAAGUGAUUGGUGGCUGAAAUGCAGGCAUAGGUGGUGGGGGGAAAUAUGGUAUUGCUGAGUCACUGUUGCCUCGCUCCAGGGCUUCCUUCAGGUGCUAUUUAAAGAGCAUUAGGCUCUAGCCAAUAUGGUUUACACACAAAAAAUGGUAGGUGCAAGUGAGCCCGUUGGGAACAUUCUCUUCUGCUGGUUCUCGUGUCUGGCCCCAGCUGCGUGACACUGCUGUUUUCCUUGGCGCCCUUACAGAGCAGGCUAAGGGGCUAUUCUGGCUCCCUCUCACGUGCUAGCACCCAGGAUGUGCAAACUAAUGAGAAUGAAGAGGCUUUCUUGUAAUUAGUGCAGCUCUGCUCUGGGGAGCCAUUUGGGUCUUAGAAAAACAAAGCAAUAGUAGAAAGACCCACCCACUCGGUGCCAUCUGCAACAGUAUGCGGGAAUGGAUGGUCUGGCAGGCUGCUAGUGGUUAGAGCCCGAUCACAACAGCACUAUUCCACAUUUCUAUAGGACUUAGGAAGGCCAUUAGGAGUCAGGUAAAAACAUGGCACCAGUAACAAAUCAUUAUGCCAAAAGAUGCAUCUGUUUCAGAAUUUCAUGGCUUCCAAAGUGCCUAUGAUCUAAUCUGGAUCUUAGUGGUCAGGCAUCCAGUGACUUUCAAUGUAGAUUUUUCAGCAGAGCCGAUUUUAUCACAUUCACAAAGAAUGGGCUUUUGUUUCUCAGGCAGACAGCUUCCCUUUUUUCCAUGCGAAAAGGAGCUGAGCAGAGGCGGAUAUUAUGUGGGCAGAGAUUCUCCAGGACACUGCUAAUAGGAUGCUAGGUUAUCUGGAAUAUAACAACAGCUGCAGCUAUUUGGCUUCUUCUCUGAGCACAAGUCUGCAUGUGCAUAUAGCACUGAUUUAGCUAAUCUGCUCUUGCUCCCUGAAAGGACAAUCAAACAUUUCGCAUUUGGGAAGAACAAGACUAGAGGGAAAGUUGCAUUGCAAAUUGAGAAAAAGACACCCUGACUCUUACGUUUGGGGCAGCUCUCUCGGCAGAGUUAGUUUAUUAUUUUGUCAGUCUCAUGACUUAGCUGUUAGUUUUAUCUCACUCAACUAAUAUCGCAGCCUAAUCCACUGAAGCCUGUAAUAGGCUUUGGAAUAACAGGGGUUUACAUCCUCAUUAGUGUUCAGCACUAGAUGUCAGAAGAAAGUAACAUCGGCAGAGUCCCCUGUAAGACAGCCGAAUCCAAAGAGAGCUGCUAGGUAGUAGGGGCGGUUGGGGAAUGGAAAAAUCUAAAAUUCACCUUGAGGAUUGGAAAGGGGGGACAAACAUGGGUGAGGGGUAACUAAAAGGGAGCAGGGAUGGGCAGGAGAAGUACAAGGAAGGGAAAGUUACGAAGAGCCUGAGCCUGCAAACAGUUACUAUGAACUUAGUCCCACUGAAGUCAAUAGUAGUGAGUAUUUGCUCGGUGACUUUAAGGCAGGGACUCCCUCCCACCUCUAUGCCGGUUACAGCAUGGAGCUCACUGACAGCACUCCACUAAUGUUUAUACUAGGCAGUAGAUUGAUGUCCUUAUAAUGCACAUACAGUGAAGCUAGAAUUGCACAUUGGUGUUGUGUGUAUUCAGGCUCUGUGGAGCCUGCUUGCUGGCGAUUCAGCCACCUUACACAGAGUGUGAAAAAUGCACAUGCCUGAGCUCCAUAGCUAUGCUGAUCUAACUCCCAGUGUAGACACAACUAGAUGGAGGGAAGCAUCUACUCUAUGGCGGUACAAUGGUAUAGAGAUGGUGCUGUAGCUGUGCCAUUGUAGGGCGCAUACUGUAAACACAGUCUUAGUGACCUGAUUUUCAGAAAUGCUGAGGACCCAGCACUUCCUAUUGAAAGUAGGAGCUACGGGUCCUCAACACUUCUGAAGAUCAGGGGCGGCUCCAGGCACCAGCACGCCAAGCGCGUGCCUGGGGCGGCAAGCUACGAGGGGACCUCCCACAGGCGUGCCGCCGAAUCCGCGGGACCGGGGACCUCCCGCAGGCAAGCCGUCGAAGGCAGCCUGCCUGCCGUGCUUGGGACGGUAAAAUACCUAGAGCCGCCCCUGCUGAAGAUUACACCACUUAUUUUGGAGCUUAUCCAUUAGCUCCGGCUUUUCAAUACCUUAGUCAAGACUCCUGCAUUCUUUCCCAGCUGUUCCAGUGACAC